CAACCAAGGUACCUAACUUACUAGCCAACCAUGGUACCUAACUAACUAGCCAACCAAGGUACCUAACUUACUAGCCAACCAAGGUACCUAACUUACUAGCCAACCAAGGUACCUAACUUACUAGCCAACCAAGGUACCUAACUUACUAGCCAACCAUGGUACCUAACUAACUAGCCAACCUUAGCUAAUGUAGCCAACUAGCCAACCAAGGUACCUAACUAACUAGCCAACCAAGGUACCUAACUUACUAGCCAACCAAGGUACCUAACUUACUAGCCAACCAUGGUACCUAACUUACUAGCCAACCAUGGUACCUAACUAACUAGCCAACCAAGGUACCUAACUAACUAGCCAACCAAGGUACCUAACUUACUAGCCAACCAAGGUACAUAACUAACUAGCCAACCAAGGUACAUAACUAACUAGCCAACCUUAGCUAAUGUAGCCAACUAGCCAACCAAGGUACCUAACUUACUAGCCAGCCAACCAUGGUACCUAACUAACUCGCCAACCAAGGUACCUAUAACUAGCUAGCCAACCAUGGUACCUAACUAGCUAGCCAACCAAGGUACCUAUAACUAGCUAGCCAACCAUGGUACCUAUAACUAGCUAGCCAACCAAGGUACCUAACUAACUCGCCAACCAAGGUACCUAUAACUAGCUAGCCAACCAUGGUACCUAACUAACUCACCAACCAAGGUACCUAUAACUAGCUAGCCAACCAAGGUACCUAACUAACUCGCCAACCAAGGUACCUAACUUACUAGCCAGCCAACCAUGGUACCUAUAACUAGCUAGCCAACCAUGGUACCUAUAACUAGCUAGCCAACCAAGGUACCUAACUAACUAGCCAACCAAGG